ACAACAUUCAGUCUGUCGGUCUACCUAGCAACACCCGCCCGGUGGAAGAUCUUCGCUUUGUUGU
rnacentral:pre_miRNA from 1 species